rnacentral:rRNA from 1 species
CGCGUGGGAAUAUGCCCUUCUCUAAGGAAUAGCCUCUGGAAACGGAGAGUAAUACCUUAUACGCCCUUUGGGGGAAAGAUUUAUCGGAGAAGGAUUAGCCCGCGUUAGAUUAGGUAGUUGGUGGGGUAAUGGCCUACCAAGCCUACGAUCUAUAGCUGGUUUGAGAGGAUGAUCAGCCACACUGGGACUGAGACACGGCCCAGACUCCUACGGGAGGCAGCAGUAGGGAAUCUUAGACAAUGGGGGCAACCCUGAUCUAGCCAUGCCGCGUGUGUGAUGAAGGCCCUAGGGUCGUAAAGCACUUUCGCCAGAGAUGAUAAUGACAGUAUCUGGUAAAGAAACCCCGGCUAACUCCGUGCCAGCAGCCGCGGUAAUACGGAGGGGGUUAGCGUUGUUCGGAAUUACUGGGCGUAAAGCGCACGUAGGCGGAUUAGUAAGUUAGAGGUGAAAUCCCAGGGCUCAACCCUGGAACUGCCUUUAAUACUGCUAGUCUUGAGUUCGAGAGAGGUAAGUGGAAUUCCGAGUGUAGAGGUGAAAUUCGUAGAUAUUCGGAGGAACACCAGUGGCGAAGGCGGCUUACUGGCUCGAUACUGACGCUGAGGUGCGAAAGUGUGGGGAGCAAACAGGAUUAGAUACCCUGGUAGUCCACACCGUAAACGAUGAAUGCCAGACGUCAGCAAGUAUAC